CCCGAGCAAUUCUCUGUUGUCGUCAUUAUUCUGGAGCAAAAUAGCAAGCACCUCACUGCAGUACAGCUUGUUGGCAUCAAAAGGCAUCUUAGCCUUCAGCCUCUUGAGCAGCCACUGCAUGAGGCCCUGCUGCGCAGCUUCUGUGCACAUCUCUGGUCGGAACUCUGCCAUGUUCUCAACAAUUGCGAGUGUGUUGUGGACACCAUCAGCUUCCUCUUUCACACUUUCAUCCAGGCGCUCUAAAUUCUGCACCAGCAAGGCCACAACCUGACCCUCCACCAGAGCAUCUAUGAGGACUUCAGCUCCUUCUUCACUCUCAUGGAGAGUAUCUAUAUCAGUCAGCUCUUGGAGCAAGUCUACCACAGCUAUGGACACAUCUGUGUUGUCGUGUCCAAGCAGCCCGAGGAGAGACUGCACGGCGUUCAGUUCCACCAGCAGGUGGUACAGGUCUGGCAUUGUUGCAAUCACAUGCAUCUCCUGGAUGAUGUCAUUUAAAUCCAGUUCAGAUUCCAUGAACUUCUCUGGAUUGUCAGGAAACUUGAUCCGCAGCUCCUGGUUUUUGUAAGAUCUCUUCUCAAAGGUGAGAAUCAUCUUUUUCACUGAGCUUUCAUCCAAAGGUUCCUCCUCCUCGUCCUCCUCUUCUCCAUCCCUUUCAAUUAUCUGAAGAAGUUUCUUCUUCUCGUCAUCGGUUUCUUCCUGCACAGCAGACUCCUCUUCCCUGUGCCGCCCAUGCUCCCGUGAGCUCACUUGUUUCCGACGUGCUUUGAUUUCUUCCUCCUCUUCAUCACGGGGCCGCUUCGUCCCUCGGUUGGGCUGGUAGCUGAGCAGCUCCCCGACGUCCAUAGCGCCGACCGGGCCUCGACGCCGCCAAACUGUCGCCAACCGCCGGGGCCGCGCGACACCGCGCCGUAAAGCGAGCGGCGCAGGCGCACUGCGAGGGCGCCACUCUGCCGGAAAGCGAGGCGGGACGAGCGCUGCCGGAAAGCGAGUGCGGCGCCGCACUGUCGCAAAGCGCCGCCCCGUCGCAAAGCGCUGCCCCGGCGCCUGCGGGAUCCGAGCGCGGCUGGCGGUGUGGCUGAUAUAGGCGCUGCGGGCUGCUCGGCUUGGCCCAAACCUCACAGAAUGUAUUUCAGCUGUGCCUGAGCGCCUUUGAGCCCAAAUCGUUGUUCAUGGCCCGACGGCGGCUGCGGCGUUGCCUCAGCGGGAGGGCGCCGGGAGGAAUUAAAGGCAUCCAUAACGUGUGAGAGGGGCGCAGCGCCCCGCCGGGACCGUGAAGUACGGGAGCUGCCGGCCUGCGAAAUUAAAGCGACAAGUCUGCGCUUUGGGGUUGAGAUAAAUAGCAGAUGAUUGGUGGCUCUGUUGGCUGCCCUUCACCGAGUGCUGGGAAACGGCUGAGGGCUGCGAGGGGCUCUGGGGGGGCUCUGGGGGGCUCUGAGGAGCAGCAGCGGAGGCCCCGGGGCUGGCAGUGAGCGCAGCGCCGGGCGGUGCAAUGCAGCUGCCGUUGGAACGGCCUUCGGCUGCUGCCGGCUCCUCCUGGGUGUGCUCCCAUCACAGCUCCAACGCGGCCUUAUUGCAGCCCAGGAAACCCAAUUCUCACCGAGCUGCUGCAGGGCAGGAUUCAAUAACGCGGCGUUUUCACCCAGUGAGGGACAAAACAUGGAAUUCAGAAUGCAAAACCGGAAGCAAAAAGUACCCAAAAAACAAACCCCGCAACCACCCGACCAACUCCGAUAAACGGAAGGACGGGCAGGAACAGAAGGUUCUGGCGCAGGGCACGGAGCAGCUCCAGCACCCCGAGCUGCAGGGGGGGCUGCGCUGCACCCCUCACCCAGCGAUCACAGCCCCACGGCACUGCAGACAGAAUCCCUUUCCUCGUCUGAUUCCCGGUUUGCUUUUCAAUCCAGAUGCCCCCAGAUCUAAUUCCGAAUAAAUAAUUGUACCGAGUAACCCAGGUUCCCCCGGUGAUUAACUAAACACACGGAGGCUUGCUGAAAUUGAAUUAGUGGUGCGCGCUCAGCCGUUAUUGCCCUCCCCGCAUCAUGCAUAUUAAUGAGGGGUUAUUAAGAAAUGUAAAUGAUGCCUCAGGGGGUUGGGAGUGCAGGGGGGGUUCGGGGCGGCGUGGGUUGAUAUGCCAAACCAUUAGGAAAACAGCCCGAUUGAAGCCGCUUUUUAAUUAUGUCAGAUCUUGCUCUUUCUUGGGUGCAGCGCCGUUUCCGGAUGGGUUUUUUGUUGUUGUUUGUUUUUAUUAAAAUGAGGAAAAGAGAACGAGUCAUAACCGGAAUGUGAAGAUUAGCGUUUGCAAAGCAGAAGAUCCGCCGGCGCUCAGCAGCCCCCC
rnacentral:lncRNA from 1 species